UCAAAAACAUGUCCUUUUGUUAAUAAUUUAAGGUCUGACCUGCCCAAUGAUUAUUUAAAUGGCCGCAGUAUAUUGACUGUGCAAAGGUAGCAUAAUCAUUAGUUUAUUAAUUGUAAGCUGGAAUGAAUGGUUUGAUGAGAAAAUAACUGUCUCAAUUUAAUUGUUUUAGAAUUUUAAUUUUAAGUGAAAAAGCUUAAAUUUUGAAGGAAGACGAGAAGACCCUAUAGAGUUUAAUAUUUUCAUAUUAUGAUUGGUUUUAGGUUUAUUUAAAAUUUUAAUAUGAAUUUAUUUUGUUGGGGUGACAUUAAAAUUUAAUAAACUUUUAAUUUAUUAUAACAUUUUUUUUUGAUUAUUUGAUCCUAGAUUUUUAGAUUAUAAGAUAAAAUUACCUUAGGGAUAACAGCGUAAUUUUUUUUGAGAGUUCUUAUCGAAAGAAAAGUUUGCGACCUCGAUGU
rnacentral:rRNA from 1 species